AUGAAGUAUAGGUGCUGACACCUGCCCGGUGCUGGAAGGUUAAGAGGAGAGCUUAGCGCAAGCGAAGGUUUGAAUUG
rnacentral:rRNA from 1 species